CAUGCGCUUGAUACUGUCUUGCUAGAGAGUAAUAGAGGGAAGCGGAGCUUCCGGUGUAGCGGUGAAAUGCGUAGAUAUUGGAAGGAACACCACUGGCGAAGGCGGCUUCCUGGAUUAUUUCUGACGCUGAGGUGCGAAAGCUAGGGGAGCAAACGGGAUUAGAUACCCCGGUAGUCCUAGCUGUAAACGAUGGUCACUAGGUGUAGGAGGUAUCGACCCCUUCUGUGCCGCAGUUAACACGUUAAGUGACCCGCCUGGGGAGUACGGCCGCAAGGCUAAAACUCAAAAGAAUUGGCGGGGGCCCGCACAAGCGGUGGAGCAUGUGGUUCAAUUCGAUGCUACGCGAAGAACCUUACCUGGGUUUGACAUCCUGCCAGUAAUUUGCUGGAAACAGCGAGUGACCGUAAAAGCGGAGGGCAGGACAGGUGCUGCAUGGCUGUCGUCAGCUCGUGUCGUGAGAUGUUGGGUUAAGUCCCGCAACGAGCGCAACCAUUGUCUUUAGUUGCUAACCCGUAAGGGUGCACUCUAAAGAGACUGCCUGUUGUUUAACAGGAGGAAGGUGAAGAUGACGUCAAGUCAGUAUGGCCCUUACGUCCUGGGCUACACACGUGCUACAAUGGGGCGUACAAUGAGCAGCGAAACCGCGAGGUGGAGCAAAUCUCAAAAAGCGCCCCCCAGUUCAGAUUGGAGGCUGAAAUUCGCCUCCAUGAAGUCGGAAUCGCUAGUAACCGCGCAUCAGCUAUGGCGCAGUGAUACGUUCCCGGGUCUUGUACACACCGCCCGUCA
rnacentral:rRNA from 1 species